CGUACUCCCCAGGCGGUCGACUUCACGCGUUAGCUACGGUACUGGGAAAUCGCUUCCCCAACACCCAGUCGACAUCGUUUAGGGCGUGGACUACCAGGGUAUCUAAUCCUGUUUGCUCCCCACGCUUUCGUGCCUGAGCGUCAGUGUCAGCCCAGGGGGCUGCCUUCGCCAUCGGUGUUCCUCCGCAUCUCUACGCAUUUCACUGCUACACGCGGAAUUCCACCCCCCUCUGCCACACUCCAGUUCGCCAGUUUCAACGGCCAUUCCCAGGUUGAGCCCGGGGCUUUCACCGCCGACACAACGAACCGCCUGCGCACGCUUUACGCCCAGUAAUUCCGAUUAACGCUCGCACCCUACGUAUUACCGCGGCUGCUGGCACGUAGUUAGCCGGUGCUUAUUCCGCCGGUACCGUCAAAAAACACGGGUGUUAUCCGUGCCCUUUUCGUCCCGGCUAAAAGCGGUUUACAACCCGAAGGCCUUCUUCCCGCACGUGGCAUGGCUGGAUCAGGGUUGCCCCCAU
rnacentral:rRNA from 1 species